GCCUGGGUGGCUCAGUCAGUUGAGCGUCUGACUUCCGCUCAGAUCAUGAUCUUGCAGUUUGUGAGUUCGAGCCCUGCAUCCGGCU
rnacentral:tRNA from 1 species